CAACCAGAUUUAUGUGUUCAGGCCUGUCCCUAUUAAUGGUUGUUUUCAUUAACCCCAAAUCUGGUGGUCAUCAUGGUCUUGUGCUUAAAGAGAAGCUUCAACUGUUGAUGAGCGACAUUUAGGUGUUUUACCUUACGGAAGUGAAGCCUCAUGAGUUUGUAAGAUACGGGUUGGCGUGUUUGGAGAUAGGGGCAGCGAAAGGAGAUGAAUGUGCUAAAUAAUGCAGAGCAAGGUUGAAGAUUAUGGUGAGUACACACAACAAUAUAUUUUUAAUCUCAUGGUCUUUACGUUUUUAGCAAUUAGAAAUGUUGACAAUGGAAUUGGUUCGUUAGAAAUGUUGACAAGGCCCUGUUUCAAAUAAGGUUGUAUGAUUUUCGAGUAAUGAGACUGAGGUCCAUCGACGAGGCUUUCGAUUGUGGCUGCUUCAAGCAGGCUGUCGAUCCCACAUUUGGUUUACCAUUCUAUUCCAUUUUCUAAAUUUACGGUUUAACAUUCUAUUCCAUUUUCUGGUCUUGCAAACAAUUAUUCUAUAUCAUGUUCCUUGGAAUGCUAUUACCCAGUUUGAGUUUUGAAGGUAGUAUCCUGUAGGGUUUAGUGAACCUUCUUUUUAUGUGUUAAAUUCAAAAUUGUUCUAAUAUAUGUGUAAUUCUUCAAACUUCCGAGUCAUGCCAUUUACAUCUAUAAAAUUAUUAAUGUUUGUAUCUA